CAUCGAUGUUCCUAACUAUCCCUCUCCCUUCCUUUCUGUAAAAAAAUCAAUAAAAUAUAUUUAAAAAAAUAAAAAUGCAACUUAAAAAACUCACGUUUCUAUUCUGUCUUUGGAGCUGCAGGGUUAGUGGCUGAUGAGAAACUACUGAUGAGAGGAGGAAUGGUGUGCAAUAAAGCCUUCAAUAGCAGCGUUGUCCGUGUUUGAGGUCUUCUGGAGAAUUCUCUUGUUCUUUCAUUUGGGGCUUGUUUUUUUUGUCUCUCCAUUUUGGCUGCCUGUUUGGGUUUGUGUCUGUGUAUUAGGUAGGUCUGAUAGCUACAAUGGUGUUUGCUGUAUUUUUCUAUGCAUACUGAUCGCUUCAAAUAUUUCAUAAUAAAGGUUAAAUGAGUCUGAGCUGUUCAGAAACACAGUACAAAAACCACGUAUAAAGGAGUAAAGUAAUGAAAUAAUUUGGUAACGUUGAGCACCCACAGUGGUCCAGGCACAGUGCUAGGUAUCUGGGAGUUCAUGUAAGCCUCAUGCUUACUAUAUAACUCUUUUCUGCGCAUGUAUUGAUCACACAUGCAGCAAAGGUAAAUGCCAACAACUUAAAUAAAAAGGAGACCAUUUUUUAAAGAGUUAGGUAGCAGAUAGUUCAUUGAACUCUGUAAUUCUGUCAGAAAUUAUGAAAAGGGGAAAAUUGAUUUGAUUUCAAUUUAUUAAAUAGUUAUUGAGGCAUUAGGGAUUCAGAGAUUAAUAAGACACAGAGCCUGCUAUUAGGAAACUCAAUUCUAGAGGGGCAGAUAAACCAAUAAACAAUAAUUACAGAACAGUGUGAUAAGUAGUAUAAUAAAGGUGAAGAGGAGGUAGUAAGGAAGCUAUUAAUUUUGAUGUUGGAAGUGAGUAGAUGGGAAAAGGAAUUAACAUUUGACCUGGACUUUUAAAGAUGAAUAGAUUUGGAAGCUUAGAAGACCAUUCUAGUCAGAGGAAGAAAAGCAUCUGUAAUAUGAGUGCUUAUUAGAUGCCAGAUUCUUUGUAGAUUAUUGUAGUUCUCACAACAAUCUUGUGAAAUAAGGGGUCUUAUUGUUUUGUUUUUUAAAUGAUGACAGUUGCUGUGGAUUUGAAAGUGAAUGAUAGAAAUAAGUAUGAUAUGACUAGGAUUUGUACCCAGGUCUAUUUGACUUCAAAGCCACCUUGUACCCUUUUCCUUAUUCAUUCAUUUUUUUUCAUAAGCAAAGGCACAGUUCCAUCUCUGGUAAAAGAUGGG